GGAAGGAUCAUUAUUGAAUCAACUUGGUCGAGCUGUUGCUGGUCCUUCGGGGCAUGUGCACGCUUGCCACCAAAUUUAACCACCUGUGCACCUCUUGUAGACUGAAAAACCUGAUUCUCGAGGUAACUCGGAUUGAGGACUGCUGCUGCGCGCUUGCCAAGCUGUUCUUGUGUUUCUCAGUCUAUGUUCUUACAUACGCCGAAUGAAUGUCUUAGAAUGUAUUGUUGGGCCCUAGGGCCUUUAAAUCAAAUACAACUUUCAACAACGGAUCUCUUGGCUCUCGCAUCGAUGAAGAACGCAGCGAAAUGCGAUAAGUAAUGUGAAUUGCAGAAUUCAGUGAAUCAUCGAAUCUUUGAACGCACCUUGCGCUCCUUGGUAUUCCGAGGAGCAUGCCUGUUUGAGUGUCAUUAAAUUCUCAACUAUCCCAGUUUUUUUUUGUAAACCUGGAUGGUUUGGAUCAUGGGAUUUGCGGGCUUUUCUAAGUCGGCUUUCCUUAAAUGCAUUAGCAGAGCUUUUGCCGCUGGCUAUUGGUGUGAUAGUUAUCGACGCUAUUAGUGAGCCGCAUGAAUGGAGCUUCGCUUCUAAUCGUCUUUACAGACAACUUUGACAAUCUGACCUCAAAUCAGGUAGGACUACCCGCUGAACUUAAGCAUAUCAAUAAGCGGAGGAAAAGAAACUAACAAGGAUUCCCCUAGUAACUGCGAGUGAAGCGGGAAAAGCUCAAAUUUGAAAUCUGGUAGUCUUAGGCUGCCCGAGUUGUAAACUAGAGAAGCGUUAUCCGCGCUGGACCGUGUAUAAGUCUUCUGGAAUGGAGCGUCAUAGAGGGUGAGAAUCCCGUCUUUGACACGGACUACCAGGGCUUUGUGAUGCGCUCUCGAAGAGUCGAGUUGUUUGGGAAUGCAGCUCUAAAUGGGUGGUAAAUUCCAUCUAAAGCUAAAUAUUGGCGAGAGACCGAUAGCGAACAAGUACCGUGAGGGAAAGAUGAAAAGAACUUUGGAAAGAGAGUUAAAUAGUACGUGAAAUUGUUGAAGGGAAACGCUUGAAGUCAGUCGCGUUAGUUAGGAAUCAGCCUUGCUUCUGCUUGGUGUACUUCCUGGCUGACGGGUCAGCAUCAAUUUUGACCGGUGGAAAAAGGCCAGUUGAAUGUGGCAUCUAAGGAUGUGUUAUAGCUUCUGGUCGUAUACAUCGGUUGGGAUUGAGGAACUCAGCACGCCGAAAGGUCGGGGUUCGCCCACGUUCGUGCUUAGGAUGCUGGCAUAAUGGCUUUAAUCGACCCGUCUUGAAACACGGACCAAGGAGUCUAACAUGCCUGCGAGUGUUUGGGUGGAAAACCCGAGCGCGUAAUGAAAGUGAAAGUUGAGAUCCCUGUCGUGGGGAGCAUCGACGCCCGGACCAGACCUUUUGUGACGGAUCCGCGGUAGAGCAUGUAUGUUGGGACCCGAAAGAUGGUGAACUAUGCCUGAAUAGGGUGAAGCCAGAGGAAACUCUGGUGGAGGCUCGUAGCGAUUCUGACGUGCAAAUCGAUCGUCAAAUUCGGGUAUAGGGGCGAAAGACUAAUCGAACCAUCUAGUAGCUGGUUCCUGC
rnacentral:misc_RNA from 1 species